GACGAACGCUGGCGGCGUGCUUAACACAUGCAAGUCGAACGGAAAGGCCCUGCUUUUGUGGGGUGCUCGAGUGGCGAACGGGUGAGUAACAAGUGAGUAACCUGCCCUUGACUUUGGGAUAACUUCAGGAAACUGGGGCUAAUACCGGAUAGGAGCUCCUGCUGCAUGGUGGGGGUUGGAAAGUUUCGGCGGUUGGGGAUGGACUCGCGGCUUAUCAGCUUGUUGGUGGGGUAGUGGCGUACCAAGGCUUUGACGGGUAGCCGGCCUGGGAGGGUGACCGGCCACAGUGGGACUGAGAUACGGCCCAGACGCCUACGGGAGGCAGGAGUGGGGAAUAUUGCACAAUGGGCGGAAGCCAGAUGCAGCAACGCCGCGUGCGGGAGGACGGCCUUCGGGGUGGAAACCGCUUUCGCCUGUGACGAAGCUUGAGUGACUGUAAUGGGUAAAGAAGCACCGGCUAACUACGU
rnacentral:rRNA from 1 species